CCUACGGGCGGCAGCAGUGGGGAAUAUUGGACAAUGGGCGAAAGCCUGAUCCAGCCAUGCCGCGUGUGUGAAGAAGGCCUUCGGGUUGUAAAGCACUUUCAGUGGGGAAGAAAGCCUUGGGGCUAAUACCCUCGAGGAAGGACAUCACCCACAGAAGAAGCACCGGCUAACUCCGUGCCAGCAGCCGCGGUAAUACGGAGGGUGCGAGCGUUAAUCGGAAUUACUGGGCGUAAAGCGCGCGUAGGCGGUCUGAUAAGCCGGUUGUGAAAGCCCCGGGCUCAACCUGGGAACGGCAUCCGGAACUGUCAGGCUAGAGUGCAGGAGAGGAAGGUAGAAUUCCCGGUGUUGCGGUGAAAUGCGUAGAGAUCGGGAGGAAUACCAGUGGCGAAGGCGGCCUUCUGGACUGACACUGACGCUGAGGUGCGAAAGCGUGGGUAGCAAACAGGAUUAGAUACCCUAGUAGUC
rnacentral:rRNA from 1 species